GAGAAACGAAGUCAGAAAACAGAUUUAAACCAAGUUUGAAACGGUGCCUCUGUUUGCUAGUACUGCGAGACAACGUCGUUACGUUGAAGGAAUGGAUGCUAAAACAAACUCUGGGUGAGACUGGACGCUGAACACACCAGCGGCGCGAAGGUUUACUGGUUCAGCUGCUGCAGCCUGGACAGAAACACCACCUCUCACCUUACAAACCAAACAGGUGUCACCACUUCAUCCACAAUCACAGAGAGUCUUCGUACAGUGAGGAAGUUCUUUGAGACCAGGACUGAGGCCUCCAGGAUUCAAACUUAAACCAUUAAAUCAGAGAGAGGGAGACGUGAAGACAUUUCCAGAAGGUCUUCAGCUGCUGUUGUCAUCUCCUUCUGCAGAGACAAUAACAUGUAUUAAUCACAGAAACUGAUCAGUAAAUGGUAAUAUUUUAACGACAUACUAUUCUCUGACAUUUUUUGAUGUUUUUUAUGCCUUUUUGCCAUUUUUGUCAGUUUUUGACAUCUCAUUUUUUGACUGAUCUGACACCUUACUAUACUAUAAGACUUAAGAGGCUUAGACAAAGGAACUCUCUUAAAGUAGCCAUCUUACCUUUGUUUUCCACAGACACACACAUUCACACCUCAACACUAGGGCAAUCGAAAUCGAACCGCAAUUGUGACUUGCAAGUUAGUUCAAAUCACAAUUUCAAUUAUUUUUACAACAGAGUCAGUGGACAUGUCGGUACACUUUUUUUAGCUGCCUCACAAUUCAACACACAGAGGACUGGCAGGAGCAACUGUAACUCUAACUGUAACGAACUGUGGAGUUAGAUACGUGAUGAAAACAGAGGGCAGAGCAACAGAGUGAUAACGUGACGCAGGCAGUGUGAGUCGCUCCAAUUCUCUCUGCUCUGGUGUCACGUUCUACCUGCAUGCCCAUCCUGAGGACGGACACAACUAAAGCUGAAACUACCGGUGAUAUGACGAGUUAAAAGCAGCUGACAGUGUCAACAGGCAUAAAUAUAUUGAUACAUAGAUAAUUGGAAUAAAUACAUUUUGGAUUUGUAUAUUUUCAUUGUCAUCCUUGGAUUAGUACACAGAGAAGUUAAUAUUUGGUUCAUAUCUUAAAAGGUAAUGCUCCAUCACGUUUUACAUGUAUAUAGUGAAUCCUGGACUGAAGCUUGACUUUCAAAAUAAUAUUGCAAAUAAAAUCACAAUUGCAAUAUCUGUCAUAUCUGUCAUGUUAUACCUUGUCUUGUAUAUAUAAUGCCUUCUUCUAUUUUUGCUGUUGCACCACUGAAUUUCCCCAUUGUGGGACUGAUAAAGGAUUAUCUUAUGCAAAUAAAUUCUUCUGAACACUGAAUAUUUUUGCCGGUCUGUUUAAUAUUGUAUGAAAGUGAAUAUUGUUAGCCAGAGGUCAGGGUUAAGGUUACGGCUUUUAGCCACUUGUAGACCGAGGUGAAGAUUACAGCUCUCAGCCAUUUUUAGGUUUAGGUUUUUAGCCAGAGAUUAGACGUUUUAACCCCAAUUAUACAUUUUAACUGCAAGCUGCAAGUAGAGAAUAUUUGGUAUUUCUGCAUUAUAAAAUGACUUUUGUGAUAGUAACUAGAAAAAAUACAUUGGUGGUUUUUGACCCCUUACUAUGCUAUGACAUUUUUUUUACAUUUUUCCACACCUUACUACACUAUGACAUUGUUUCAUGGUUUUUUAACG